rnacentral:lncRNA from 1 species
GGGCUGCGGGCGCCGUGCCCCCCGCGGCGCAGGAGGGGAGCGGGGGCCGGGCUCGCUGCCAGCCCCCCCCCCGGGGCAGGGCAGGAAGCGCCCGCGGAUCCGCUGUGCGGUCGCAGCCUGCGGUUUCCUCGCUGCUGUCAGCGCCGAGGCUGGGGCAGCCUCACACGCGAGGCCGCCGGCCCCCGCCUCCGCCAGGGUCCUCGGGCACCCCGGGCAGCCGGGCGGUGCCCCCAGCCCACCCCGCCAGCAUCGGGUCGGGGGGAUACCGGGACCCCUUCCCCGUCCCCCCCCCUCGCGGCACCUCGGCCGUGAGUCACCGUCACGUUUCUCACGUCCCCGGGCAGGCGUGAUUCAUGCCCAGCCCAGCGGCAGGGCCGCAGCCGGCGGCACGCACUCGGUGCAGGCAGCGCGCCGCGGCCACCGCGACAGGGCACGGGGGGGCCGGGGCUGACCCCAGGGGACCCACGCCGCACCCCGGGGCCCGCAGAGCGCCCACGGGCUCGCUCGGCCCCGUCGUGGCUCCCCAGCACCCCGGCACCCGACUGGGCACCCUGCGCUGCCCGGUGUCCUUGCCGGUCCCACGGGUGCCCCGCGGAGCCGCCGGCCGCCCCGCAGGGUGGGCGCUUGCCCCAGCACCCCCGCAUCCCGUUGCCGGGUGGGAGCCGCACGCUGAAAUUCCACCUGUCGCAGCCGGGCCGGCUCCGGUUACGCCGGGAACGCGCCGCUCCGGUUACACCUCCCGCACCCGCCGCGCCAUUCUUCCCCGGGAACAGGUGCCCCGGCCCCUGCUGCGGCCCCCGGCCCCGGCACGGCCCUGCAGCCCCGACAGCACCGCGUCAGCCCCGCCACCCAUGGGUGCUGGCUCAAAACAGAGGCCUGGCAGGAGCCGUCCGGCCCCAACCAGCUCCCGGGGCCGGCAGCACCCACGGGUGCCCCGCCACCGCCGCCGCCUGCCCACGGAGAGGGCACCCACGGGCACCCCACGGCGCAGCCCCAACCCUCGGGGAAAAACCAGGGACCCCGCAUCCCGGGGAGGGACGGAGGGGAUCCACGGUGCCGGGGGGGAGAAUCACGGGGCACCGGGGUGGGCGGGGGGGCUCCCGGCGAGCAGCGGGCUGGCCCCACGGCCGCCGCGUUCGCAUCGGCCCCCGGUUGUUUUUAGCGCUGGAUGCGGCGCACGGCGCCCUGGGAACGGCGUGCCGGGAACAGCGCGGCCCCAGACAGCCCUUUCUGGCUCGGCGACAGCCGGCAGACAAGUGCAGCUGGCUGCGCCGCCGGCCCGCGGCGCGGGGCCGCUCGGGACACGGCGCCCGGGGCCGGCGUGGGUGGACGCAGCGGGCUGGCGGCCGCGCGCUCCGGCGGGCGGUCGGUGCCGCC